ACAGCAACGGUGCUUAAAGCCAUGGAAACCUAUUACAUUGUCCCCAAUGGUGAAACAGGUUGUAAACAAUAGAGGUGUGUACAAAGAUCUUCUACCUGACUCCAUUAGCUUCUUAUGACUGGGCAUUACCACAAGAUAUGGAGGUCCGUACCCACUGCUCCACAGUCUCUCCAACAAGUUGAAGGCAAAAUAGAAGAACAAAAUUGGGACAAUGAAGAC